rnacentral:rRNA from 1 species
GACGAACGCUGGCGGCGUGCCUAAUACAUGCAAGUCGAGCGAAGUUUUUCUGGUGCUUGCACUAGAAAAACUUAGCGGCGAACGGGUGAGUAACACGUAAAGAACCUGCCUCAUAGACGGGGACAACUAUUGGAAACGAUAGCUAAUACCGGAUAACAGCAUAAAUCGCAUGAUAUAUGUUUAAAAGUUGGUUUCGGCUAACACUAUGAGAUGGCUUGCGGUGCAUUAGCUAGUUGGUGGGGUAAAGGCCUACCAAGGCGACGAUGCAUAGCCGACCUGAGAGGGUGAUCGGCCACACUGGGACUGAGACACGGCCCAGACUCCUACGGGAGGCAGCAGUAGGGAAUCUUCCGCAAUGGGCGAAAGCCUGACGGAGCAACGCCGCGUGAGUGAAGAGGGAUUUCGGUUCGUAAAGCUCUGUUGUUAGGGAAGAAUGAUUGUAUAGUAACUAUAUACAGUAGAGACGGUACCUAACCAGAAAGCCA